UGUAGCUUAGUGGUAGAGUGCUUGCCUAGCAUGCGUGAGGCCCUGGGUUCAAUCCCCAGUA
rnacentral:tRNA from 1 species